rnacentral:snRNA from 1 species
AAAAAGGGUCAGUGGUAGAAUUUUUAGGAAUUCUAUAUACCAUACAAUUUCCUUAAUUGUACAGAAUCGUUAUCAAAAGAUUUUGCUGAUAUAAUUUUUGUAAUUGGGCAGUCUCUUGGUCGCACGCUUUUUAUCGACUGAGACUGCUU